rnacentral:rRNA from 1 species
UGCCAGACUCCUACGGGAGGCAGCAGUGGGGAAUAUUGGUCAAUGGGCGCGAGCCUGAACCAGCCAAGUCGCGUGAGGGAAUAAGGCCCUACGGGUCGUAAACCUCUUUUGCCGGGGAGCAAGGGCGGGGACGUGUCCCGGCCCGGAGAGUACCCGGAGAAAAAGCAUCGGCUAACUCCGUGCCAGCAGCCGCGGUAAUACGGAGGAUGCGAGCGUUAUCCGGAUUUAUUGGGUUUAAAGGGUGCGUAGGCGGUCCGUUAAGUCAGCGGUAAAAUGGCGGGGCUCAACCCCGUCGAGCCGUUGAAACUGCGUUUCUUGAGUGGGCGAGAAGUACGCGGAAUGCGUGGUGUAGCGGUGAAAUGCAUAGAUAUCACGCAGAACUCCGAUUGCGAAGGCAGCGUACCGGCGCCCAACUGACGCUCAUGCACGAAAGCGUGGGUAUCGAACAGGAUUAGAUACCCCAGUAAG